rnacentral:tRNA from 1 species
GCCCGGUUGGUGUAGUGGUAGCACAGGGGCCUGUGGAGCCCCUAGGCCGGGUUCGAAUCCCGGGCCGGGCC